rnacentral:snRNA from 1 species
AGGAUCCCUUGUGAUCACCAAAAUGGGUUUCUCAGGGUGAGGCCUGUCCCUUGCAGUCUGGAAAAGCUGACCCCUGUGAUUUCCCCAAGGUCACUCUCC